GUGGGGAAUAUUGGACAAUGGGCGCAAGCCUGAUCCAGCCAUGCCGCGUGAGUGAUGAAGGCCUUAGGGUUGUAAAGCUCUUUCAGUGGGGACGAUAAUGACGGUACCCACAGAAGAAGCCCCGGCUAACUUCGUGCCAGCAGCCGCGGUAAUACGAAGGGGGCUAGCGUGGUUCGGAUUUACUGGGCGUAAAGCGCACGUAGGCGGAUCGUUAAGUCGGGGGUGAAAUCCUGGAGCUCAACUCCAGAACUGCCUUCGAUACUGGCGAUCUUGAGUCCGGAAGAGGUGAGUGGAACUCCUAGUGUAGAGGUGGAAUUCGUAGAUAUUAGGAAGAACACCAGUGGCGAAGGCGGCUCACUGGUCCGGUACUGACGCUGAGGUGCGAAAGCGUGGGGAGCAAACAGGAUUAGAAACCCCGGUAGUCC
rnacentral:rRNA from 1 species